CGGCCUGGUGGCGAGUGGCGAACGGGUGAGUAAUACAUCGGAACGUACCCAGAAGUGGGGGAUAACGUAGCGAAAGUUACGCUAAUACCGCAUACGUUCUACGGAAGAAAGUGGGGGAUCGCAAGACCUCAUGCUUUUGGAGCGACCGAUGUCUGAUUAGCUAGUUGGUGGGGUAAAGGCUCACCAAGGCGACGAUCAGUAGCUGGUCUGAGAGGACGUCCAGCCACACUGGAACUGAGACGCGGUCCAGACUCCUACGGGAGGCAGCAGUGGGGAAUUUUGGACAAUGGGCGCAAGCCUGAUCCAGCAAUGCCGCGUGAGUGAAGAAGGCCUUCGGGUUGUAAAGCUCUUUUGUCGAGGGAAGAAACGGCAGUGACUAAUA
rnacentral:rRNA from 1 species